UAACAAGAUUCCCCUAGUAACUGCGAGUGAAGCGGGAAAAGCUCAAAUUUAAAAUCUGGCGGUCUUUGGCCGUCCGAGUUGUAGUCUGGAGAAGCGUCUUCCGCGUUGGACCGUGUACAAGUCUCUUGGAACAGAGCGUCAUAGAGGGUGAGAAUCCCGUCUUUGACACGGACUACCAAUGCUUUGUGAUGCGCUCUCAAAGAGUCGCGUUGUUUGGGAAUGCAGCGCAAAAUGGGAGGUGAAUUCCUUCUAAAGCUAAAUAUUGGCGAGAGACCGAUAGCGAACAAGUACCGUGAGGGAAAGAUGAAAAGCACUUUGGAAAGAGAGUUAAACAGUACGUGAAAUUGCUAAAAGGGAAACGCUUGAAGUCAGUCGCAUCGUCCGGAACUCAGCCUUGCUUCGGCUUGGUGCAUUUUCCGGUUGAUGGGCCAGCAUCGAUUUUGACCGCUGAAAAGGGCUGGAGGAAUGUGGCACCCUCGGGUGUGUUAUAGCCUUCAGUCGCAUACAGCGGUUGGGAUCGAGGAACGCAGCGCGCCUUAUGGCUGGGGUUCGCCCACAUUCGCGCUUAGGAUGCUGGCAUAAUGGCUUUAAACGACCCGUCUUGAAACACGGACCAAGGAGUCUAACAUGCCUGCGAGUGUUUGGGUGGAAAACCCGAGCGCGUAAUGAAAGUGAAAGUUGAGACCUCUGUCGUGGAGGGCAUCGACGCCCGGACCUGACGUUUUCUGAAGGAUCCGCGGUAGAGCAUGUAUGUUGGGACCCGAAAGAUGGUGACCUAUGCCUGAAUAGGGUGAAGCCAGAGGAAACUCUGGUGGAGGCUCGUAGCGAUUCUGACGUGCAAAUCGAUCGUCAAAUUUGGGUAUAGGGGCGAAAGACUAAUCGAGCCAU
rnacentral:rRNA from 1 species